rnacentral:tRNA from 1 species
GUGGGUAUAGCUCAGUGGUAGAGCUGCUGCUUUGCAUGCACGAGGUCCUGGGUUCAAUCCCCAUCACCUCUG